AAAACAAAUACUUUCUCACCUAACAAAUCCUUCCAUCUUCUUCCUUCCCCCCACCGCAGGAUCCACCGCAUUGCUCCUUCCUCCAGUCCAUAACCAUUGAACUAAAUAAAAUUAACAUAUUUAAGAUCUAACAAGUUGGUGUGGACGAGGACAUUGAAUUGGCUAAACAAGUUGACAAACCCUUCUUUACCUCAAAUUUUCAAAUCCUUCCAUUGUAGCAAAUCAACAUUCAUACUUUCAUUGUAGCAAAUCAAACGAGCAAAGACAACUGGUUUGGAUCGAUCGAGAAGCAGAGCAAAGUGAAGACAACGGAAGGUUCUUUGAGGCUUUGAGUCAUGGAGGGUAGACCAAACAGUCAAAAUCCAUUGUUUGUGAACGUAGCUUCAGGGGAAAUUCUAGGGUGACAGAGUGAAACAUAUCUCACACCCGUGAAGAGUGAUUUUUACCUGCUAUUAGAGGUUGUUCCGGUUUUUUCUCUUUGGUAAUUAUUAAUUGAGAAUAUAAUAUUGUAAUUAUUAUUAGAUAUUAAAACUCAUACAUAUCCAAUCACCAUUGACCACUACUGUUGGUACACAAGGCAUGUCUGACUUACUUAAUCAAACUGUAAUGGGAAGACAGAAUUGAAAGUGUAUGGGGUGCUUCAUAUGAUGGUUUUGAAUAUGAUACUAAAAUGCAGGAAAAAGGGUUAAAACCCAAUACUUACACCUAUACCACAAUGAUUGUGGGACUUUCAAGGGCCGGAAAUGUUAUGGAAGCACGAGGCCUAUCUUGGCGCCCCGAACGGAAAAAAUAAUAUUCAUAUUCAGGUUCAAGUUCAACACAAAUCUAUUUCUUUGUUACCAUGUUUCUCUUAUGUUGGAAAUGGUGUACAAGCAGCAUUUCAUGGUAGCAAGUUAUUUGUGUAAAAGCAGAAAAUAAAAUAGCAAAUUCUGCCGAGUUAUUUUUGAAUAAGAAGAAUUUGAUAUAUUUACGCUGAGAUAGAAUUUCAUGGUUCAGGUUCAACACAAA